UAGAGGUAAGACUUUAGAAGUUUG
rnacentral:piRNA from 2 species